UUUGAACGCGAAGAACCUUACCAGGUCUUGACAUCCUCUGACAACCCUAGAGAUAGGGCUUUCCCCUUCGGGGGACAGAGUGACAGUGUGGUGCAUGGUUGUCGUCAGCUCGUGUCGUGAGAUGUUGGGUUAAGUCCCGCAACGAGCGCAACCCUUGACCUUAGUUGCCAGCAUUCAGUUGGGCACUCUAAGGUGACUGCCGGUGACAAACCGGAGGAAGGUGGGGAUGACGUCAAAUCAUCAUGCCCCUUAUGACCUGGGCUACACACGUGCUACAAUGGAUGGUACAAAGGGUCUGCAAGACCGCGAGGUUUAGCCAAUCCCAUAAAACCAUUCUCAGUUCGGAUUGUAGGCUGCAACUCGCCUACAUGAAGCCGGAAUCGCUAGUAAUCGCGGAUCAGCAUGCCGCGGUGAAUACGUUCCCGGGUCUUGUACACACGCA
rnacentral:rRNA from 1 species